CUCAGACAUGAGAUAAUCAUUGUGAACAACAUAGUGACAUGCACGUCAUCUAACAGAUCAAAGACGUAUACUAGUUGGGCUCUUGGGUCCUAUACACCUUUGUGUGGAUGGGGUUUUCCCUCUCUCGUACGGUUGUUGUGGCUAUGGUAUAUCACCCAGUGUGACAAAGGUGGUUGGUGUCUUGUGUCUAGGCAGGUGGUGUGUGUUGACCGACCGUAUGGGGGGGGAAACCGGGUGUUGUGUGUGCUUUGCGCGUUCAGUUCUCAG